ACUCCGCGGCCCGCCAGGACCCGGCCCCGGUGAACGGGCUCGGGGUGCCGAGGUCCGGCUGCGGGGCCGGGAAGCCACCUCCACCUUGCCGUCUGUUACGACCCCCGAGGCGCAAGGCUGAGCCCCAUCUCGCUAUCCGGGUCCGGAGGGGUUCACCUUAGAAGGAUUUUUUGAAGCUCUUGGCGCUGGCUCUAAAAGAACCCACUUCCUUGCGGAUUUCAGGAGUCAAGAAUCCUUAAACGGAGCCAAUUUGCUUUGUAAAGCCAAUUGCCCAAGUGACUUGAGUUCGAAAGGAGAUACUUCCUGGACAACUGCUAUAAAAACAACAACAAAUACUUUUAUUAAUUCGGGGAGCCUGGUCACCAACUGGAUGCUCAGGGGAGAUGGAACCCUGAGCAGCCCAUGUACAUGGAAGAUCUUUAUUGCAGAGAUCUUCAAACCAGAGAUAUACAAGAAUCCCUGUGGAAAACCUCAUGAACUCAAGGUCAUGCAGAGACUUAGGGAAGAACUGGGACUGGCUUAUCAAGACUCUACACUACUGACCCAGGGCUUGGCAGUUUCUGUCCUAGAAAUCAGAACACGCAGCUCAUGCAUCACCGAGAAGGUGGUCAGCCUAAGAAGUGGUUCCCCACUCUUUGUUCUAAGAUAUUCCUCUCUCAGAAACCACGUCUGUUUUCAACUUUUUUUUUUUUUAGACAGUCUCACUCUUGUCACCCAGGCUGGAGUACAGUGGUGCAAUCUUGGCUCACUGCAACCUCUGCCUCCCGGGUUCAAGCGAUUCUUCUGCCUCAGCCUCCCAGGUAGCUGAGACUACAGGCGUGUGCCACCAUGCCCAGCUAGUUUCUUGUAUUUUAUUAGUAGAGAUGGGGUUUCACCAUGUUGUCCAGUAUGGUCUCAAACUGCUGAGCUCAGGCAGUCCCCCCGCC
rnacentral:lncRNA from 1 species